rnacentral:rRNA from 1 species
GAUGAACGCUGGCGGCGUGCCUAAUACAUGCAAGUCGAGCGAACAGACGAGGAGCUUGCUCCUCUGACGUUAGCGGCGGACGGGUGAGUAACACGUGGAUAACCUACCUAUAAGACUGGGAUAACUUCGGGAAACCGGAGCUAAUACCGGAUAAUAUAUUGAACCGCAUGGUUCAAUAGUGAAAUACGGUUUUGCUGUCACUUAUAGAUGGAUCCGCGCCGCAUUAGCUAGUUGGUAAGGUAACGGCUUACCAAGGCAACGAUGCGUAGCCGACCUGAGAGGGUGAUCGGCCACACUGGAACUGAGACACGGUCCAGACGCCUACGGGAGGCAGCAGUAGGGAAUGUUCCGCAAUGGGCGAAAGCAUGACGGAGCAACGCCGCGUGAGUGAUGAAGGUCUUCGGAUCGUAAAACUCUGUUAUUAGGGAAGAACAAAUGUGUAAGUAACUAUGCACGUCUUGACGGUACCUAAUCAGAAAGCCACGGCUAACUACGUG